rnacentral:rRNA from 1 species
UACAGAGGUCCCGAGCGUUGUUCGGAUUUAUUGGGCGUAAAGGGUGCGUAGGCGGCGGAGUAAGUUGGGUGUGAAAUCCCGGGGCUUAACCUCGGAAUUGCAUUCAAUACUGCUUCGCUAGAGUACUGGAGAGGAGGCUGGAAUUUACGGUGUAGCAGUGAAAUGCGUAGAUAUCGUAAGGAAGGCCGGUGGCGAAAGCGGUUCUCUGGGCCUGUACUGACGCUGAGGAGCGAAAGCGUGGGGAGCGAACAGG